ACUACGGGGGGCAGCAGUGAGGGAUAUUGGACAAUGGGGGGAACCCUGAUCCAGCGACGCCGCGUGAGUGAAGAAGUAUUUCGGUAUGUAAAGCUCUGUCAGCAGGGAAGAAAGAAAUGACGGUACCUGACCAAGAAGCCCCGGCUAACUACGUGCCAGCAGCCGCGGUAAUACGUAGGGGGCAAGCGUUAUCCGGAAUUACGGGGUGUAAAGGGAGCGUAGACGGUUAAGUAAGUCUGGAGUGAAAGGCCGGGGCCCAACCCCGGGACUGCUCUGGAAACUAUUGAACUUGAGUGCAGGAGAGGUAAGCGGAAUUCCUAGUGUAGCGGUGAAAUGCGUAGAUAUUAGGAGGAACACCAGUGGCGAAGGCGGCUUACUGGACUGUAACUGACGUUGAGGCUCGAAAGCGUGGGGAGCAAACAGGAUUAGAUACCCUUGUAGUC
rnacentral:rRNA from 1 species